GGUGGCCGGGCCCUUCCGCGAGCGCUACGGGACCCUCGCCGGCGCCCUGGACGCCACGCGGCACGAGCUGCCCGCACGCUCCAUCCACCUGGCGGGAGACGGGCCGCGGCUGCUGGACGCGCUGCAGCUCGAGCUGGCCGCCACGCGGCGUCUCCUGGGCGAGCUGGCGCCCGGCACCACGGAGGACGGCGUGCGGGCCCUGGAGCUCCUGCGCGAGCUGAAGGACGCGGCCGCGGACAAGGACCUCGAGCUGCGCAGGUAGCGCCGGGCGCGGCCCGAGGGAAGGGGCAGCCCCCGCGGGGGCCAGGCGUGGGGGCCGAGAAAUCCGGGCCCUUGGCGAGCGCCCACUUCCCAGGUGGCACGAGGUCCCGGCGGGCCGGUGGGACCCCUUUUUGUGGCUCUGGUGAGCGUAGCCGCCACCCACGGCCUCUUCGUCUUCUAAUCCGCUUGCUUUGUUUUUUUUUUCUUAGUUGGUACUGGGAAUCGAACCCAAGGCCUUAUGUGUGGGAGGCAGGUGCUCAACCAUGAGCCACGCCCGCACAACAAGAGUUGCUUUUUCCUUUGUUUCUUUUUAUUCUUUAGGAGGCACUGGGGAUUGAACCUGGGACCUCAU
rnacentral:lncRNA from 1 species